UACAGAGGUCACAAGCGUUAUCCGGAUUUAUUGGGCGUAAAGCGUUUCGUAGGUGGAUCAGAAAGUUACUCUUCAAAGACUACGGCUCAACCGGAGGAAGGGGAGUAAUACUAUUGGUCUUGAAAUAUGGUGGGGCUUCCGGAACUGAUGGUGUAGUAGUGAAAUACGUUGAUAUCAUCAGGAACUCCGAGGGCGAAGGCAGGAAGCUAACCAUUUUUUGACACUGAGGAACGACAGCUAGGGGA
rnacentral:rRNA from 1 species